AGAGUUUGAUCCUGGCUCAGAACGUACGCUGGCGGCACGCCUAACACAUGCAAGUCGAACGAAGUAGCAAUACUUAGUGGCAGACGGGUGAGUAACAUGUAGGUAUCUGCCCUUUGGCCUGGAAUAACACGAGGAAACUUGUGCUAAUACCGGAUAAGUCUUUACGGAGAAAGCUUUACGCACCAUUGGAUGAGCCUGCACUUGAUUAGUUUGUUGGUGGGGUAAUGGCCUACCAAGACUGUGAUCAAUAGCUGAUUUGAGAGGAUGAUCAGCCACAUUGGGACUGAGACACGGCCCAAACUCCUACGGGAGGCAGCAGUGGGGAAUCUUGCACAAUGGAGGAAACUCUGAUGUAGCGAUGCCGCGUGAGUGAAGAAGGCCCUUGGGUUGUAAAGCUCUUUCGUCGGGGAAGAAAAUGACUGUACCCGAAUAAGAAGGUCCGGCUAACUUCGUGCCAGCAGCCGCGGUAAUACGAAGGGACCUAGCGUAGUUCGGAAUUACUGGGCUUAAAGAGUUCGUAGGUGGUUGAAGAAGUUAGUGGUGAAAUCCCAGAGCUUAACUCUGGAACUGCCAUUAAAACUUUUCAGCUAGAGUAUGAUAAAGGAAAGCAGAAUUUCUAGUGUAGAGGUGAAAUUCGUAGAUAUUAGAAAGAAUACCAAUUGCGAAGGCAGCUUUCUGGAUCAUUACUGACACUGAGGAACGGAAGCAUGGGUAGCGAAGAGGAUUAGAUACCCUCGUAGUCCAUGCCGUAAACGAUGUGUGU
rnacentral:rRNA from 1 species